rnacentral:rRNA from 1 species
CACCGCGGUUAUACGAGAGGCCCAAGUUGAUAGCCUAACGGCGUAAAGCGUGGUUAAGAAAUACUAUUUAACUAGGGUUAAACAUCCCCAAAGCUGUUAUACGCACAAAAGGAUAUGAAACCCCCCUACAAAAGUGACCCUAAAACCCCUGACCCCACGAAAACUGCAAAA